UUACAUCAAAUUUGUAUGCAGUUAGAACGUUUGCCUACGUUUGCCGCUAGGGGCGCUGUUCCAACUGCAUACAAAUUUGAGUUA
rnacentral:pre_miRNA from 1 species